ACGGGAGGCAGCAGUGAGGAAUAUUGGACAAUGGAGGCAACUCUGAUCCAGCCAUGCCGCGUGCAGGAAGACGGCCCUAUGGGUUGUAAACUGCUUUUAUACAGGAAGAAUGGUAUCUACGUGUAGGUAUUUGACGGUACUGUACGAAUAAGGAUCGGCUAACUCCGUGCCAGCAGCCGCGGUAAUACGGAGGAUCCAAGCGUUAUCCGGAAUCAUUGGGUUUAAAGGGUCCGUAGGCGGUCUAAUAAGUCAGAGGUGAAAUCCUGCAGCUCAACUGUAGCAUUGCCUUUGAUACUGUUAGACUUGAGUUAUUGUGAAGUAGUUAGAAUGUGUGGUGUAGCGGUGAAAUGCAUAGAUAUCACACAGAAUACCGAUUGCGAAGGCAGAUUACUAACAAUACACUGACGCUGAGGGACGAAAGCGUGGGUAGCGAACAGGAUUAGAUACCCUGGUAGUCCACGCCGUAAACGAUCAUCACUCGCUGUU
rnacentral:rRNA from 1 species